AGUGGACAUGACUUUGAUCCCAUGUGACCAGUGUAACUUAUUGGAUGAUGCCGUGGCAACAUUUUGUUAAGUACCAGCAUCCCGGAGAAAUCACUGGAAGCACAUUAUCAGAGGAACAGAUGGCCGGUGUCCCUCCUGGUCUGAAGGUGGAGCCUCAAUGGAUUCGAGUCAGCUUGAGUUUUGAAGACCUUCAGAAGACGACUCCAAAAUUCCAUGAUGACGUCUGUGGCACUGUUCAAAACCCUGAUGGGGGGGCGUCUGUCCACCCAGAUCCUACUCCUUCACCUUCUUCCCUCCACAGUCCAACUCAGCCCUCGGACGUGUUUCAUGGCA